rnacentral:rRNA from 1 species
UACGAAGGGGGGCUAGCGUUGCUCGGAAUCACUGGGCGUAAAGGGCGCGUAGGCGGCCUUCUAAGUCAGACGUGAAAUCCCCCGGCUUAACCUGGGAACUGCGUCUGAUACUGGAGGGCUUGAGUAUGGGAGAGGGAUGUAGAAUUCCAGGUGUAGCGGUGAAAUGCGUAGAUAUCUGGAGGAAUACCGGUGGCGAAGGCGGCAUCCUGGACCAUUACUGACGCUGAGGCGCGAAAGCUAGGGGAGCAAACGGG